AGAGCGAACGCUGGCGGCAGGCCUAAUACAUGCAAGUCGAACGGACCCUUCGGGGUUAGUGGCGGACGGGUGAGUAACACGUGGGAACGUGCCCUUUGGUUCGGAACAACACAGGGAAACUUGUGCUAAUACCGGAUAAGCCCUUACGGGGAAAGAUUUAUCGCCAAAAGAUCGGCCCGCGUCUGAUUAGCUAGUUGGUGAGGUAACGGCUCACCAAGGCGACGAUCAGUAGCUGGUCUGAGAGGAUGAUCAGCCACAUUGGGACUGAGACACGGCCCAAACUCCUACGGGAGGCAGCAGUGGGGAAUAUUGGACAAUGGGCGCAAGCCUGAUCCAGCCAUGCCGCGUGAGUGAUGAAGGCCCUAGGGUUGUAAAGCUCUUUUGUGCGGGAAGAUAAAUGACGGUACCGCAAGAAUAAGCCCCGGCUAACUUCGUGCCAGCAGCCGC
rnacentral:rRNA from 1 species